rnacentral:rRNA from 1 species
AACGAACGCUGGCGGCAGGCUUAACACAUGCAAGUCGAACGAAGUCUUCGGACUUAGUGGCGGACGGGUGAGUAACACGUGGGAACGUGCCUUUAGGUUCGGAAUAACUCAGGGAAACUUGUGCUAAUACCGAAUGUGCCCUUUGGGGGAAAGAUUUAUCGCCUUUAGAGCGGCCCGCGUCUGAUUAGCUAGUUGGUGAGGUAAAGGCUCACCAAGGCUACGAUCAGUAGCUGGUCUGAGAGGAUGACCAGCCACAUUGGGACUGAGACACGGCCCAAACUCCUACGGGAGGCAGCAGUGGGGAAUCUUGCGCAAUGGGCGAAAGCCUGACGCAGCCAUGCCGCGUGGAUGAUGAAGGUCUUAGGAUUGUAAAAUCCUUUCACCGGUGAAGAUAAUGACUGUAGCCGGAGAAGAAGCCCCGGCUAGCUUCGUGCCAGCCGCCGCAGUAAAAC